UACGUAGGGUGCAAGCGUUAAUCGGAAUUACUGGGCGUAAAGCGUGCGCAGGCGGCUAUGUAAGACAGGUGUGAAAGCCCCGGGCUUAACCUGGGAAUGGCAUUUGGGACUGCAAGGCUUGAGUGCGGCAGAGGAGACUGGAAUUCCUGGUGUAGCAGUGAAAUGCGUAGAUAUCAGGAGGAAUACCGAUGGCGAAGGCAGGUCUCUGGGCUGACAUUGACGCUCAUGCACGAAAGCGUGGGGAGCAAACAGG
rnacentral:rRNA from 1 species